CACACCUUGGGACUGAGGACCCGUUCCAGACUCUACGGGAGCAGGCAGUGGGGAUAUUGCACAAUUGGGCGCAAGCUGAUGCAGCGACGCGCGUGAGGGAUGACGGCCUUCGGGUGUAACCUCUUUCAGUAGGGAAGAAGCGAAAGUGACGGUACCUGCAGAAGAAGCGCCGGCUAACUACGUGCCAGCAGCCGCGGUAAUACGUAGGGCGCAAGCGUUAUCCGGAAUUAUUGGGCGUAAAGAGCUCGUAGGCGGUUUGUCGCGUCUGCUGUGAAAGACCGGGGCUCAACUCCGGUUCUGCAGUGGGUACGGGCAGACUAGAGUGAUGUAGGGGAGACUGGAAUUCCUGGUGUAGCGGUGAAAUGCGCAGAUAUCAGGAGGAACACCGAUGGCGAAGGCAGGUCUCUGGGCAUUAACUGACGCUGAGGAGCGAAAGCAUGGGGAGCGAACAGGAUUAGAUACCCUGGUAGUCCAUGCCGUAAACGUUGGGCACUAGGUGUGGGGGACAUUCCACGUUUUCCGCGCCGUAGCUAACGCAUUAAGUGCCCCGCCUGGGGAGUACGGCCGCAAGGCUAAAACUCAAAGGAAUUGACGGGGGCCCGCACAAGCGGCGGAGCAUGCGGAUUAAUUCGAUGCAACGCGAAGAACCUUACCAAGGCUUGACAUGAACCGGUAAUACCUGGAAACAGGUGCCCCGCUUGCGGUCGGUUUACAGGUGGUGCAUGGUUGUCGUCAGCUCGUGUCGUGAGAUGUUGGGUUAAGUCCCGCAACGAGCGCAACCCUCGUUCUAUGUUGCCAGCGCGUUAUGGCGGGGACUCAUAGGAGACUGCCGGGGUCAACUCGGAGGAAGGUGGGGACGACGUCAAAUCAUCAUGCCCCUUAUGUCUUGGGCUUCACGCAUGCUACAAUGGCCGGUACAAAGGGUUGCGAUACUGUGAGGUGGAGCUAAUCCCAAAAAGCCGGUCUCAGUUCGGAUUGGGGUCUGCAACUCGACCCCAUGAAGUCGGAGUCGCUAGUAAUCGCAGAUCAGCAACGCUGCGGUGAAUACGUUCCCGGGCCUUGUACACACCGCCCGUCAAGUCACGAAAGUUGGUAACACCCGAAGCCGGUGGCCUAACCC
rnacentral:rRNA from 1 species